AAAGUACCGGAGUGAAUUCGAAGGGUUUAUGAGAGGCUGCUGAUGUUCAGGCUGAGUGAUGCCAGGAAGGGAGGAUUCAGGUAGACCGAGACAGGGUGAAGCAGGAAGUGAUUGAGCUGCCGGUGACACUGAUCAGCUGACUUCAGUAAACACACCAACCACUCAGACAGGUAAAGUUUGGCUCAGGUGAGUUCUGAUGAGUUCAGGUGAGUUCAGGUGAAUUCAUGUGAGUUCAGGUGAGCUCAGGUGUAUUCAGGUGAGUUCUGGUGUAUUGAGGUGAGUUCUGGUUUGUUCAGGUGAGUUCUGGUCUGCCUAAUCCUCUGCUCAUGUUGAUGGUAGCAACACUUCACCGCCCUCUAGAGGACAAACACAG